rnacentral:rRNA from 1 species
AGAGUUUGAUCAUGGCUCAGGACGAACGCUGGCGGCGUGCUUAACACAUGCAAGUCGAACGGAAAGGCCCUUCGGGGUACUCGAGUGGCGAACGGGUGAGUAACACGUGGGUGAUCUGCCCUGCACUCUGGGAUAAGCCUGGGAAACUGGGUCUAAUACCGGAUAGGACCGCAUGCUUCAUGGUGUGUGGUGCAAAGCUUUUGCGGUGUGGGAUGAGCCCGCGGCCUAUCAGCUUGUUGGUGGGGUAAUGGCCUACCAAGGCGACGACGGGUAGCCGGCCUGAGAGGGUGACCGGCCACACUGGGACUGAGGUACGGCCCAGACUCCUACGGGAGGCAGCAGUGGGGAAUAUUGCACAAUGGGCGCAAGCCUGAUGCAGCGACGCCGCGUGAGGGAUGACGGCCUUCGGGUUGUAAACCUCUUUCAGUAGGGACGAAGCGAAAGUGACGGUACCUACAGAAGAAGGACCGGCCAACUACGUGCCAGCAGCCGCGGUAAUACGUAGGGUCCGAGCGUUGUCCGGAAUUACUGGGCGUAAAGAGCUCGUAGGUGGUUUGUCGCGUUGUUCGUGAAAACUCACAGCUUAACUGUGGGCGUGCGGGCGAUACGGGCAGACUAGAGUACUGCAGGGGAGACUGGAAUUCCUGGUGUAGCGGUGGAAUGCGCAGAUACCAGGAGGAACACCGGUGGCGAAGGCGGGUCUCUGGGCAGUAACUGACGCUGAGGAGCGAAAGCGUGGGUAGCGAACAGGAUUAGAUACCCCGGUAGUCCAA